rnacentral:rRNA from 1 species
CGGAGGGUGCGAGCGUUGUUCGGAAUUACUGGGCGUAAAGCGCGGGCAGGUGGUCCUUUAAGUCCUUUGUGAAAUCCCGGGGCUCAACUCCGGAUGUGCAUAGGAUACUGGAGGACUGGAGACUGGUAGAGGCGAGCGGAAUUCCUGGUGUAGCGGUGGAAUGCGUAGAUAUCAGGAAGAACACCGGUGGCGAAGGCGGCUCGCUGGGCCAGUUCUGACACUCAUCCGCGAAAGCGUGGGGAGCAAACAGGAUUAGAUACCCUGGUAGUCCACGCUGUAAACGAUGGGCACUAGAUGCCGGGCCUAUAGACGGGUUCGGUGUCGCAGCUAACGCAUUAAGUGCCCCGCCUGGGGAGUACGGCCGCAAGGCUG